rnacentral:sRNA from 1 species
GCGCUCUGUCCUUUCAAAGGAUUUUGCAUGAAGUUUUGCCAAAAGACGGCAGUCUUCAGAUGAAAUCUCAAAACCAUGCCUCAAAAUACCUCAGCCACCUAGCCAAUCAAAUAAUAUAUAUAUAACAAGCAGGGAUCUCUGCAGAUCACACGAUAUACAUGAAUUGGCCGUCAUUGAUGUUUUUCUCCCUUACAGCCCUCGACAAGCCAGCUGAACCCGAACCUGAGCCAGAGGCAGAGUUAAAGCCAGAGCCACGUCCCAUCAACCCUGCAGCCUCCCCUUCAACCAUUUCAAUCUCAUCGACAUGCACAUGUGCAUCCACCGCGCCCGCACCCUUUCGCGCUCUCUCAUUCUCCCUCUGCAGCAGCACUCUCAGCACCAGCGCCAACGCCGCCACCAACAGCAUGAACAAUGCACAGAUGGCCAUGCCCCGUACAUACCACGGCCCGUCUGCGCGCGGAUACAGCCUCGUGCCAACAAGCGGCCCGCACUGGCCAAUGAUAUUCAGGAUUGCCAUGCCGGUUCCCUUGGCUUCUUUCGCGAGCUGGUUGUCCAUUGUCCACGUGACGAUUAUGGUGAUGGAAGAGAAGAAUCCCGCCGUAGCGGGGUAGAUGGCUAUGUAUCGAAUGAGGAUUUGGAGGGUGGAGGAAAGAUGGGAGUGGAAGUGGCCUGCGAGGGCGAUGGUUAGGUAAGCGGUGGCGCUGAUGAGAGCGUGGGUUAUUAAAUAGGGACUGCGGGAACGGUGUCGGUCAGAAAGCGAGCCGGUGAGGAGUACGACUACAAAUGAAAGUAUGUACGGCGGGGCGGACAGGGCUUGGGAAGUUAGGGCGGAGUAGCCCAUGCUGUUGUUUGAUGAGGGUGGUUAGUUGCUGAAUGCUCCUGGAUACAGUUGUUGCAAGUGGGAGAGACGAACUCCUUCAUAAUUGUGGGGAGGAAGACUGGCAUUGAACUGAAUGCGACAUUGCAGCUGAAGAACAUAAACUGGAGGAGCAUGGGAAUGUGUUAGUGAAUCAGUAGAAGCAGUAUUGUUAGCAAAUGAGGCAACCUAGAACUUACCGCAGUGAGAUACGACUUGGGAUCGCGCAGUGUCCCGCCGAUAUCACUCCACUUAAACCGACGUUUUCGGAGUUUUUCUCUAUCGCUCAUUUUCAAGCGCAUCUUUGCAACUUUCCUCUCUCGAGGCGUGAGAUACCGAGCUUUACUAGGGCUAUCGGGGACAUAAAUCCACGCGAAUACGGCAACAACUACACUUGGAAAUCCCUCGAAGAGCAACAAUGCGCGCCAUGGAGCGACGGGCCCAUGUUCGCUUAGCUUCACAAUAGCCCAUGCUAGGGUGCUGGCGAAGGAAGUUGCAAGCGGCGCAGCGGAUAUAAACAUGCCAGUGCGAUAAGCCAGUUCCUCGCGUUUAUAGAAAAAUGACAGGAAGAACGGAAGGCCUGGGCCAAAGGCAGCUUCAGCAAUGCCAAGGAGCGCCCUUAGAAGCACAAGGGCCCAGAAUGAGGAGACGAGAGAUUGGCAUGCGGCAAUAAGACCCCAGGAGAAGCAGCAAAUGGAGAUAUAGACAUGUGCAGGGACGACUGUAUACAUAAGUGUCAUCCAUUCAAAACAAAUAUAUGUGAUAUAAAACGACGUGAGAAUCCAUUCAAAUUGCGGAGACCCCAGUUUCAGAGCUUUUUCCAUUCCUGCGAUCCUAGCGUUUCCGAUAUCUAGAAGGCACAUUAGACCUUAGAAGAUGUGAUGCUUAAAAGACCAAGACGAGAACUCACUGGAUCGAUCAACAAAGGACAGCAUAUACAAUAGUGCCAUAAACAUGGU